UACGUAGGGUGCGAGCGUUGUCCGGAAUUAUUGGGCGUAAAGAGCUCGUAGGCGGUCUGUCGCGUCUGCUGUGAAAACUCGGGGCUUAACCCCGGGCCUGCAGUGGGUACGGGCAGACUAGAGUGCGGUAGGGGAGACUGGAAUUCCUGGUGUAGCGGUGAAAUGCGCAGAUAUCAGGAAGAACACCCGUGGCGAAGGCGGCUCUCUGGGACGGUACUGACGCUGAGACGCGAAAGCGUGGGGAGCGAACAGG
rnacentral:rRNA from 1 species